rnacentral:rRNA from 1 species
UACGUAGGGUGCAAGCGUUGUCCGGAAUUAUUGGGCGUAAAGAGCUCGUAGGCGGCCUGUCGCGUCGAGUGUGAAAACCCGGGGCUCAACCCCGGGCCUGCAUUCGAUACGGGCAGACUAGAGUUCGGUAGGGGAGACUGGAAUUCCUGGUGUAGCGGUGAAAUGCGCAGAUAUCAGGAGGAACACCGGUGGCGAAGGCGGGUCUCUGGGCCGAUACUGACGCUGAGGAGCGAAAGCGUGGGGAGCGAACAGG